CGGUUUGAGGUAUUCGAAGAUAGAUACCGUAACUUCUCUGAUCCUGAUAUACCCAGUUUCUACUAUGGAUCACAUUACUCAAGCAUGGGGAUUGUGCUUUAUUAUCUUCUUAGAUUAGAGCCAUUCACAUCACUUCACCGUAAUUUGCAGGGUGGAAAAUUUGAUCAUGCUGAUCGUCUUUUCCAAGGCAUUGAAGGAACAUAUCGAAAUUGUCUUUCUAAUACAAGUGAUGUGAAGGAGUUAAUUCCUGAGUUCUUCUACAUGCCAGAAUUUCUUGUUAACUCAAAUUCUUAUCAUCUUGGAGUUAAGCAAGAUGGGGAGCCAAUAGGUGAUGUUUGUCUCCCUCCUUGGGCCAAGGGAUCACCUGAAUUAUUUAUAAGCAAAAAUCGAGAGGCCCUAGAAAGUGAAUAUGUUAGUUCAAAUCUCCACCACUGGAUUGAUUUGGUAUUUGGUUACAAGCAGCGGGGAAAACCAGCAGUUGAGGCAGCAAACAUCUUCUAUUAUUUAACUUAUGAAGGUGCUGUUGAUCUAGACACCAUGGAAGAUGAGUUGCAGAGAUCAGCAAUUGAAGACCAAAUUGCGAAUUUUGGCCAGACACCAAUUCAGAUAUUCCGUAAAAAACAUCCAAGAAGAGGGCCACCAAUUCCAAUUGCUCAUCCUUUGCAUUUUGCAC
rnacentral:misc_RNA from 1 species